rnacentral:lncRNA from 1 species
CAAAAUGACACAGACAUUAACAACUAUAGGUCACCGUACGGCCUUCAACAAUGAGCAAAGCCCAUACCGCAUAGUCAGCUAUAAAAGGCCCCGAUAAGACAAUGUAAAACAAUUCAAACGAGAAAACUAACGGCCUUAUUUAUGGGGAAAAAAAUGAACGAAAAACAAAUAUGUAACACAUAAACAAACGACAACCACUGAAUAUACAGGUUCCUGACUUGGGACAGGCACAUACAUAAAUAAUGUGGCGGGGUUAAACAUGUUAGCGGGAUCCCAACCCUUCCCCUAACCUGGGACAGUGGUAUAACAGUAUAACAUAAGAACGA